rnacentral:rRNA from 1 species
CUCAAUGAAUUUUAUAUAGCCGCAAUAUUGUGCUAAGGUAGCAUAAUCAUUUGUUUUUUAAUUAAAAACUAGAACGAAAGAUUUAACAUUUUAAUUUCUUUCUUAUAUAUAAAAAUUUAACUUAUUUUAAAUAUUAAAAAAUAUUUAUUAAUUAAAAAGACGACAAGACCCUAUUGAACUUUACUAAAGUUUAACUGGGGUAGUUAAUUAAAUACAAUUUUAAUUUAAAUUUUACAAACACCUAAUAAAAUUAAAGCAAUCAAGUUACCAUAGGGAUAACAGCGUAAUAAAUUUUACAAGAUCUUAUUUAAAAAUUUGCUUACGACCUCGAUGUUGAAUUAAUAUUCUAUUAAAUGCAAUAAUUUAAUAAAGAAAGUCUGUUCGACUU